AUUGAACGCUGGCGGCAGGCCUAACACAUGCAAGUCGAGCGGAUGAAGGGAGCUUGCUCCUGGAUUCAGCGGCGGACGGGUGAGUAAUGCCUAGGAAUCUGCCUGGUAGUGGGGGAUAACGUCCGGAAACGGGCGCUAAUACCGCAUACGUCCUGAUGGAGAAAGUGGGGGAUCUUCGGACCUCACGCUAUCAGAUGAGCCUAGGUCGGAUUAGCUAGUUGGUAGGGUAAAGGCCUACCAAGGCGACGAUCCGUAACUGGUCUGAGAGGAUGAUCAGUCACACUGGAACUGAGACACGGUCCAGACUCCUACGGGAGGCAGCAGUGGGGAAUAUUGGACAAUGGGCGAAAGCCUGAUCCAGCCAUGCCGCGUGUGUGAAGAAGGUCUUCGGAUUGUAAAGCACUUUAAGUUGGGAGGAAGGGCAGUAAGUUAAUACCUUGCUGUUUUGACGUUACCAACAGAAUAAGCACCGGCUAACUUCGUG
rnacentral:rRNA from 1 species